CUGUGUCCCAGGGCCUGAGAACAGGCAGGUUUUGACUUGAUGUCAUCUGCAAAUUUCCUGAUAGUGGACUUGAUCCCAUCAUCCAUGUCAUCAAUAAAAACAUUGAACAGAACUGGCCCCAGCACAAAGGGGCCAGUACACCACUGAGGGACACCACUGGUGACUUGCCCCAGCUGGAUGCAGCACCGUUCACCAUCACUCUCUGGGCCCGGCCAUCCAGCCAGUUCCUAACCCAGCGAAGAGUGCUCCUGUCCAAGCCGUGGGCUGCCAGCUUUUCCAGGAGUGUGCUGUGGGAGACAGUGUCACAGGCCUUGCUGAAGUCCAGUGGCAGCUCUGGCUCUGUGAAAAGCUGGGAGCAAUGUUCCUGCUCCUGGUAUAUGAAGAUGAACUUGUGGUUGAGGGCCAGGCCAAGGAAUUUGGCUCUUCUGCCAGGCCCUGAAGCAGACUGCCUGCCUCAGACACACAGCACCACAGUGAGAAUCCCUGUGCCUCAAAUGUUUAACCAUACUGGGGCAUCUGGCUCCAAAGAGAUUGAGGAGAGGGAAGGGGCAGCUUGCCCCUGCUAGUCUGGAAAAUAUUGAGUAGUGGAUUGAAAAAAGCAUUUUCCUGGUGAGUUGGACCCUUUAAUGAUGAGGAUUCACAGCACCUUUGGAUCAAAAUCUUCACCAGCAUAUAUACUGACUUUGGGCAUCAUUAAAUUUAAGAGAAGACUCUCUCUCCACUCUCUUUAUGAAGGUAAGAGCCUAAGUUCAGUCAAACACAUCAGACACCUAAUUCUCUUAGGCUCACCCGUCAUUUCCUAGACCCCAACCAGGCUUUCCUGGCCACAUCCUAGUGCUCCAAAGCUGAAGGGAUCUGGUAGGGAUUCUGAUAGAUGCUGUAUUGUACUUCAUAUAUGUAUUGAUGAGUCAUCUUUUGUCACAUUAAUGCUUGCAAAGAUCUUGAGACCCUUGGGUAUGAAAAGGAUUUGGGGAUCAGGCAAUCACACACUUUGCAGCUAUCAGUUUGCUGAGCAGGGAAUGGAUUUAAGCCCACAUUUAAGGGAAUUCUAGGCUUUAAUGCAUUCUGAAAGCAUCCCAGAUUGCUGAUUUUAUGUAGUUCUGCUGUAACAGUAUCGGCUGGGAUAUUGUUCUCUGCAUUAGUCAGGACAAAACUUAGGAGAUCCCCAUAUCUGCAGAGUACUACAGGAUGGUAUUUUUGUUUUGGUUUCUGUUUCAAUUCCUCAGUCUUUACACAAGUUGUUACAUGAGGGCUGCAAGCUGCAGGCUGCCUACCUUCCUCUCUUGCUAAAGGCACCCCUGGUUACUUCAGGUAAAGCUUUCCUUCUAUACAUUCUUGCUUUAUUCCAUGUCAGCAGCUGGGUUAAUUUUGAAGGGUUUGAUCUGCAUGGGGGUGAAAGAACACAGCCACGCAGCCAGCGAGAUUUCUGAGCAUGGCAAGACAAAGCAAUCUCUUCUUUCUGUAUGCCUUCCUUGGAUUUAUUGUCUGCAUCAGCCAGGCUCCUGGUUCCAGCUGCAAGUUUUUAUUAUUCCAAGAAUAAUUGUUUGGCUAACAGAGACCUCUCCCUGCAGACAGAGGGAAGGAUCAACCCAAAUUGAUAUUUCAGAUGGAAGUUUGCUUGGAGCAGCUCACAAUAGCACAGAGAAAGCAAAAGAAGCACCUACCUUAUUUUCCCCUGGUUGGCCUUUCUCCUCUCUCUCUCUCUCCCCCCUCCACCACCUUGAAAAACAAAGAAAAAUAAGUGCAGAACUAUAUGACUGGAAGAAAAGCAGCGUAAAGACAGACUAUCAGGUUCCCUAAAGUGCAGAUUCAAACCCAGUGGCUUAUAGCAUAUUUGGGUCAGCUCCUUUGGAAGAAAUGGAGAAGACACACAAAGGAGGCACCUACAGCAUCAAUUUACUCAUCCACUUAUGGGUUAUUGUGAGUCCUGAAAUGGCAGAUUGGCUUCUCACUUAUUGAGCUGAAGCAUCAGAAAAGGAGGCCUGAAAAUGGCCUUUUUGCCCCAAUUUCUCACCCAUCAGAUGGGAUUCAUCACCAACAGAGCAGUGGGCACAGGAGAUAGGAAGGGUACCAUUUACUCUGGCAGUCAGGCAAUAUGGGAGAUGACAACUGUCCUGGGUAUGGAAACAUUACUUGGUCUUGUUUGUCUUUCUCUAAAUAUUUGGUUUUACUGACGAGAUGAAUUCCCUUUGGGCGAGGUUAGCGUUAAUCCAGAGCAGCAGUGCUUCCCUCCAGAGGACACAGCGAGGCUUCUGCCAUUGUCCUGGGGAGCAGAAUAUAUGUCCAAAGCACAAUGCCUGUCAGCCCCAAACAGGUUGCUCUGCUGACAAAACCACCCAAAACUUCACUUUUCCAAGAGCAGUCUAUAGUGUUGAAGUCCCCAGUGCUCAGUCCUGGUUAUGGUUGCUAAUAUGAACUCUACACUUAACCCACAGGCCCCAGUUUCUCUCCACAAGGCAUCCAGAUGCAUUCCUAAGCUCCACACACUCCACUUUUCCAGUCACAACUGCAUGACUCAGUGCUGCGCAGCAGUUUUCAUUUCCAAAGCAUUUUGCAAACAUGAGCUGACUAAGGCUUGCCAGCAGACCCCAUUCCUUGCCAAUUGUAUUGAAAGGGCCUCUGAGGAGAACGGCUGCAGCUCAGCCCAGAGGUGCAAUUUCAUUUUCAAUUGUAUAAGCAUUUGGGGGGAGGUUGAGAGACGAAAAAAGUUGUUGUUCAGUUGCCACUGAGAUUUUAUGCUUAUUUCAUUGCCGUGUUUACUUAGGAAUGAAACAACAUCCUAGGUGCUGAUAACAAGCUCACCUCAGAGCAUGGGACUUCUGGGCCUUGAGGGAAGACAAUAAAGGUGAUAGUUAAUGUCUCUUCAGUGUUAAAAUCUGUGACUACGAGAAAGAUGAUACGCUGGUUCUAAAACUGUAUGCCAUCUUCCUCUUCCCACUUCUUCCCCUAAGGCUGGAGGGAAUUACAGCAGGGGUUGAGUUUGCACAGAUCAA